UUUCCUACGGGAGGCUGCAGUGGGGAAUAUUGGACAAUGGGCGCAAGCCUGAUCCAGCCAUGCCGCGUGAGUGACGAAGGCCUUAGGGUUGUAAAGCUCUUUUGGCGGGGACGAUAAUGACGGUACCCGCAGAAUAAGCUCCGGCUAACUUCGUGCCAGCAGCCGCGGUAAUACGAAGGGAGCUAGCGUUGUUCGGAAUCACUGGGCGUAAAGCGCACGUAGGCGGAUUUGUUAGUCAGGGGUGAAAUCCCGGGGCUCAACCUCGGAACUGCCUUUGAUACUGCAAGUCUCGAGUCCGGAAGAGGUGGGUGGAAUUCCUAGUGUAGAGGUGAAAUUCGUAGAUAUUAGGAAGAACACCGGUGGCGAAGGCGGCCCACUGGUCCGGUACUGACGCUGAGGUGCGAAAGCGUGGGGAGCAAACAGGAUUAGAUACCCGUGUAGUC
rnacentral:rRNA from 1 species